rnacentral:ncRNA from 2 species
GCUAAUUGCUAGGGGUCUGCGUUUUUAAACAAAUGGUUUAACAAAAUGCAGUGAGAUAUACCCUUCGAACCUGAUGCGGGUCAUGCCGCCGUAGGAAAGCAUCAAUCCGCUUUC